GGAAGAUCUGCCCUAGCCCAGGUCCCCACCACACAUCACCACCCGUGCAGCCGGCUCAGCACACCCAGGGGCUGCCGGAGGACUCCCAGACGGGGUCGCCCCGACCCUCUGCCCCGCUCCCACCCCACAGCGAGCAUCCCCGAGGAAAAACUGAAAUGCAGCUCCCUAUCCGCUGGCAGCCAUAGCGCGAGCAGGGUGACCUCAUCGCGAGGCAAGUCUCAGCAUGUCCGGGCAAGCCCCGACAGGUGCCGGGCAGGGGACACGUUCCGACACCCGGCCCGGCCACCCUCAGCCCUGCCCGCCUCCGCCACGCCCCGAGGUCCCCAUCCUCCAGCCGCCGCGGGGGCCCGGCUGCCACCACGCAGCUUCGGCCUGAGUCACGGCUGCGAGCGGCCGAACGCGGAAGGACCGGGGCCAGGUCGCCGUCCCCUCCCACGGGGGUGGCUCCGCUCCGCAGCCUCCCCAGCUCCGCGGGCCGGGCCGGCAGGUGAUGCGGGCGCACGCUCGGACCUCGUCCGGCGAGGCCGAGACGCUCUCGGGCGCGGCGAGCGACAAUCCCCUCGUCCCCCUCCCGGCCCCGCUGGCACCUGCGGCACCGGGACCUGCCCGCUCCCGGUUCCACCCGCUCGCUGCGAGGAGAUCCCGCACCCGGUAGCGGACGCGACGCUAAGCCCGGGGAAGGGGCAAAGGGCGCCGCGCUCACAGCGCCAACGGCCCGGAGCGGGGAAGGGGCUCCCGCCCCACCGCCCCCGGCUCGGCUGGGGCGAGGGGUGCUCUGCGGGCCGCCGCCACCGGGGGGCGAGCGCCACCCGGCAUCGGGCCACCCUAAACCCGGCCGCCACCUCCCCGCUCCCCCGUUACCGGCGCACAGCCACCGCCCUCCCAGCUGCUGCAGCAGCGGCGGCAGCGAGGAGGAGGAGGAGGAGGAGGAGGAGGAAGAGGAGUAGGAGUAGGAGCUGCUGCUGCCGCUGCCGCCUCCUCCUCCUCCUGCAGCCUGACCCCGGCGAGCACCAGUGCCCGCAGGGCGAUGCGGCCCGCACCGAGCGCCGUCGCCGCCGCACUCACCCUCGCGUCGCCGCUCCCGUCGCUGCCCGGUGCCGCUCUCCGCCCUUUAUAGCGGGGCGGGGCGGGCCGGGGCGGUGCCUCCCGCCGCUCACGGCGUCUCCCGGGAUUUCCCCCCCCCGCCCCCGCGUCUCGGCCCCACCCCGGCCCCGACCCGGGGCGUCCGGGGGGAUGUGGGGCCUGCCGGACAGGGGCCGCGGGGCGAUGCGGGAACCCCCCAUCAGCGGAUGCAGGAAACGGGGGCCGCCCCCUUGCCAAGCAAGAGACGCUGGGAUCUUCAGCAACGGCGUUUUUGCUGGCUGGAGGGGGCUCCGCAUCCCACCGCGGUCUUUCCUGGGUCGCUGGAGGGCGGAAUUCAAAUGGGAAGGGGAAUGA
rnacentral:lncRNA from 1 species